rnacentral:lncRNA from 1 species
AGUGCAUUGAAAAGAAACAUGAAGAUGAUGAUGAUGAUGACGAUGAUAGUGACUAUGAUUAUUUGUAAUCUAGCUUUGAUGCAUGUGUCCUAGCUUUGAUACUUGGUCUUGAAUCCAUUGUACUAAAAUUAAAGAAGGAUUCUAGAUGUUUUCAAAUUGUGUUUUACAAAAUUUCUUAUGAUGAGUACUUAAUGAGUAAAUAAUAGAUACUAUUCUAUUGAAAUGUUGGAUUUUCUUUAAUAGGACUAGUAAUGGUUUUUCAUCAGCCUUUAUGUGAGUAAAUAAAGUUGUUGCUCAUUAAAAAAAAAUAAUUAGCAGGCUCAUGAGUGCCUUCCAGCAUACUCAUGGGUUGUAUAACUGCCAAGUCCAAUUAUGUUUAUUUUAAACUUCUUUUUUGCCAGUUGUGAUUGCAAUUAUAUAAUCUAUCUAUCAUAUUGAAAAGUUUGAUUUUUCUAUCAAGAUUAAGUACUUUGGAAAGACUUGCUGAAAUUAAGGUACUAAAAAUUGCUGUCAAAUAAGGUGUGGAUAAAAUACCUGUACAAGAUUGGAAAAUGCCUUAGUUUGGGUCCACCACCACCAAAAGCAUUGCCUGAGGCAAAAGCUUAUAGGCUGUUUCCUUGGUGAGGAAUGAAGUGUCAGAGAGCAAGAAUGAGGAGCUUCCAGGGUGAAACAGAUCCAGAAGGAAAGCCAGUGUGAGGGUGUGAUAUCAGGUCUGUCACCAGUAAGUGCAACUAAAUGCUUAAUCUCAUGGACAAAUCUCUGAGAAAUCAUUAAAAACUGUCCCGGAGCAGUAUGAGUGGGAUGCAAGGUUGGGGAGAAAGGGUGAAGAACUCACCUUCCAGUUCUUACCUGUCACUCCUUAAAGGCUGACUUCUAGAAUGUCUCUCCAUAAUUUCCAGAUUGCACAGGGAGAAUUCACCUUAACAUCAAUAGGCAGGUGUUGGGGACCGCAAAUCAAGUCAAGAUGGCGCCUGGCAGUUUGCCAGGAGGAAUGGUUUGUGAGGCAAUGCCACCAAGCCAUUAAGAUGGUGGAGAUUCCUUAUUGGCUGACUGCUGUAUCUAGAUGAUGCUAAUUGAGUCAAGCUGUGUGUAAUCAGUUAGGUAUAUAUACCUAUGCUGUUCCGCAAUAAAGCGGCUCCCGCUACCUUGAGUUCCCUCUGAGUUUCCCCGCAAUAAAGCAGUUGCCGCUUCAACCUUCAAGUUGCUUGUCACCUCCCGGUUAUUGUGCCCAGCCGGACUGCGGCAGGCAGGACGAGAUAGGGACACAGGGCAGGUGGUGCCAGCAUGACGUUUUUCAGAGUCCACACAGAACAGUCUUGGUAGCUGUGACCAGAACAAGAGAGGAGUGAGGUCAAGAGAAUCCGAAUUAGCACAGGCUAUCUGGCAAAAGGAAUGAGUAACCGAAAAAAUUUGGAAGGAUUCUGGGCCCAAAUUUUUUCAGAUGUAUCUUUUAAAAUGCCAAUUCUAGGGGCUAGGAAUGUAGCUCAAUAUAAGAAUGCUUGCUUAGGACCGAGAUUCAUUCCCCAGCAAAGAAAAAAAAAUUUUGAGAAAUAUUUACCACUAAGUGCAGUUUAUGCCAGAAUGAUGGCAGAAAACACUGAUCAGCAAACGAACCAAAAGCAAAGACCUUGAUCUUAUAAUGAAGAUACUUAAGUAAAAAGACUCAUAUUUUAAAUUGGCAUAGAAUGUUUUUAGGUUGUAUAUAUCUUUACAUAAUCCCUUUUUAACUAAGAUGUUAUGUGUACACAUGGAUUUGAACCCAGGGCCUCAUGCAUGCUCAACACAUGUUCUACCACCAAGCUACUCCAGCCCCUUAACUGACUUUUUAAAACUAACUGACCUACCAACUAACCUACCUUCCUUAAUAAUGUCAGAUAAUAGAGUUUCUUUAUUCUUUAUAAAAGAUUAAUCUUUAUGGCUCUUUCAUUACACCUUUAUCUAUAUUUCACAUACCAAAAAAUCAACCCUAUCAAAGUAUAUACUUCAUAAAGGUGUACAACAUCACCACCACUACUUAAUUCCAUAAUAUUUUUAUCCCCCCAAAAAGAGACCCUGUAUACAUUAGCAGUCACUCCCAUAUCCUCCUCCCCUAAGCCCUGGCAAUCACUUAUCAACUUUCUGACUCUAUGGAUUCGCCUAAAAUAUCUACCUUUUAGCUGUUAUCAAUAAUGCUGUGUAAACAUUUGUGUAUAAGUUUUUGUCUAGACAUAUCUUUUCAGUUCUUCUAGGUAAAUCCUUAGGAGUAGAAUACAGGGUCAGAUGGUAAUUCUGCUUAACUUUUUGAGGAACUUCCAAACUGUUUUUCAUAGCAGCUAUACCUUUUUAUAUUCCUACCACAAUGUACAAGAGUUCCAGUUUCUCAAAAUUCUGGCCAGAUGCUGUGAUUUAAAACUAUCUCCCAGUGGCCCAUGUGUUAAAGACUUGAUCAUCAGCCUGUGGUGGAACCUUUAAUAGGGCUGGGUAGAAGAAAGUUAGGUCUUAUGGAUGUGUCGUUGAAGGGGAUCUUGGGAACCUAGGGAUUCCCCUCUCCCUUUCUCUCAAAUUCUCUCAAGUUCAACACACACACACACACACACACACACACAUCAUACACCCCACUUCCUGGUCUCCAUAAGGUUGGCUGUGUAGUUCCAUAACACCCUGCCAUGGUAUUCUAUUUAUUUAUUUCUUUGUUGGUUCUUUUUAGUUGUACAUGACAGUAUAAUGCAAUUUGACAUAAUUACACAAGCAUGGAAUAUAUCUUAUUCUAGUUAGAAUCCAUUCUUGUGGAAUUCACUAUGAUGUUUUCAUAUAUGUACAUAAGAAAAUUAUGUCAGAUUCCUUUUCUUGUCUCCCCUCCCUUUCCUCUAUUCCCCAUUAUCUAAUCUACUAAACUUCUCCCCCUGCCCCGCCCCCACUUAAGUGGGUUAGCCUUCACAUAUCAGAGAAAACAUUCAACCUUUGGCAUUAUGGGAUUGGCUUAUUGAUUUAGCAUGACACAGGCCCAGAAGCAAUGGAACCAAUUGACCAUGAACUGAAACAUCUGAAACCAUGAGCCAAAAUUAACCUUUUUUCUUUCUUUUUUUUUUUCAUAUUUAUUUGUUAUUUGUAGAUGGACACAAUACCUUUUUUUUUUCAUUUUUAUGUGGUACUUAGGAUCCAAACCAGGGCCUUGCAUGUGCUAGGCGAGCACUCUACCACUGAGCCACAACCCCAGCCCAAACCUUUUUUCUUUUUAAGUGUUUUAUCUUAGAUAUUUUGUCACAGAUACAGCUGCUUUAUUUCAUUUUAUUUUAUUGUAGCUAACCUGGUUGGUGUGAAGUGAUCUUUCGUGGUUUUGAUUUGUAUUUCCCUAAUGACUAUUGGUAUUGAACAUUUUUUUAUGUGCUCCUUGGUCAUUUGUAUAUCUUCUUUGAAGAAAUAUCUACUCAAAUUCAUGGCCAAUUUUUAUUGGGAUUUUCUUUUAUUGUUGAUUUAUGAAUUCUUUAUAUAAUUCUGGAUACAAAUCCCUUAUUGGAUAUGUGAUUUGCAAAUGUUUUAUCAUUCUGUGUGUAUGUGUGUGUUUCUUGAAGCACAAAAGGUUUACAUUUGCUGAAGUCCAAUUUUAUCUUCUUUUGAUGGUGCUCUUAGUGUCACAUCUAAGAAAUCAUUGCCUAAUAUAAGUUCUCAGAGAUUUACUCCUAUGUUUUCUUCUAAGAGUUUUCAGAUAGCUCAUAUAUUACAUUGAUUAUUUUAAUCUACAACUUGGAAUGAAUGGAAUUUAGUAUUAACAUUAUUUACUUUCUUACUUCCUCCUCCUAUUAUCUAGGAAACAAAGGGCACUUUCAUUCUAAGUUCAUUCACAAAUAUGAGACUGGUUACUGCCCCAUGAGGGGUGAGCAAGAGAGCUAUGAGGAUAUUCCUGGGAGCCCACUUUGAAGUAGGAGUGGUGAUAGAAACAAGCCCUAGCCAUUAGCUUCAUGUGGAGCUGGAAGAACAAAAUUUCAGCCAUUCCUUAAGAGGAAGUGUGAGAGACACACAAAAGUACUGCCAAUUUGCAAGUCCAGGCACUGAAUGGAUCUAUCUAUUCCAAGUUCUAAAGUGUGUUUCCCAGAGUUCAAGUGGAUAUGGUUUUCAUAUGCUUCUACAGUGAGUAAAUACACAUUUCAUAGUCCAGUGAAAUAAUACCUGUUAUUUUAUAAAUGUUGACACUAAUAGGUGGCAGUGAAAUAAUGACUGUAUUAUAAGUUUGCAUGAGUUUCUUUCUAAAAAUUUAUCUUGGAAUUCAUCAAUAUGCUGUGAUAAAUAUCUGUUACCCAUUUUGAACUUAAUAGACUACAUGGAAAUAUUUAAGAAUACUUUUGAGUCAUCUCAAAGUAUUAACUAUCAAAUUUAUUUAGGCAAUAACCUCUGUGGCUAUUUCAUGAGUUUGAUCACCAUACUCAUUAGGUAUUAGAUCUUCAAAGAACAGCAUUGUUAAUUAUAUUUUUAAUGAUAUAGGAAUAAGCUAUGAUUCAUUUUAGCUACUACUGAUACCUGCUAUUAGGCAAGGAGAUGCAACUAGGAAGUAAAAUUUCUAGUUGACUAUUGCAAUUAUAAACAGAUUGAUGGAGCAAAGCUAUUUUCAUAUAGGCCCAUAUUAAUCAAAAUUGUAUUGAAUAAGGGCUGGUGAUAUAGCUCAGUUGGUAGAGUGCCUGCCUUGCAUGCACAAGCCCUGAGUUCAAUCCCCAGCACCGCCAAAAAAAAAAAAAUUCUAUUGAGUAAGAAAUUCUAUAUUUAGGUGGGUUCAAAAGCAUAUAGUACCUGAUAGUUCUUCUUUUUUUAAAAAAAAAAAA